rnacentral:lncRNA from 1 species
CCACAAGCCAACAGGCAGAAACGUAAUCCGAUAUUGUAGCCAGGAACAGAAGGAGGUCCGAAACCAGGAAAACAGAGAGUGAAGUACCACAGGAAAACACAGAAGCAAAAGUCAAAAUGGCAAGCCAGAGUCGAAAGCAGAAAUACUGUAAUCACAGGGCACAGUCCAGGGGCAAUCCAGAAAAACACAGCGAAAACAAGCACAGGAAGGUCACCGCGGUGCUUGCUGAAAAUGUGCUGGAAGAAAAUCUAAUUGAGCCCAUCAGUGUGAGCCGAAGACGUGGCAGAUCUAAGCAGCAGGAAUAGACCAUCCCAGGUUCCCAAAUUGCCGGGAGUUUGGAAGACUAAGAUUUUAAUACAGAUUUUUGGGAAAAAAAUAUUUCCAAAAUUGGAAAAAACACUGGCUAUAGAUUGUAGGCCCAUUUUUUUAGUUCACACAGGAGUAAGUAUUUUAGUGAUCUAAAAAAAUAUCUGUUGCUUUCAAGCAUCGGUUCUUUCCAUAAAGCAGGAAUAAAGAGCUCUGUUUCC